rnacentral:rRNA from 1 species
UUUAAAUGUAAAAUAAAUAUACUAAAGUAGUAUUAGUUAUGUUCUUGAAAUUUAAAGAUUUUGGCGGUAUUUUAGUCUAUUUAGAGGAGCCUGUUCUGUAAUUGAUAAUCCACGAUUAAUUUUACUUAGUUUCUAUAAAUUUGUAUACCGUCGUUAUAAGAAGAUUUUAAAAGAAUAUAAAUUUUUAAUAUUUUAUAUAAAAAAAUAUAUCAGAUCAAGGUGCAGUUAAUAAUUAAGAAGAAAUGGGCUACAAUAAAUUUAUUUAUUUAUACGAAUUAAAGUAAGAAUUUGACUUUAUGAAGGUGGAUUUAAUAGUAAUAAAAUUAAUUUAAAUUUUAUGAUUUUAGCUCUAAAAUAUGU